CUAUUACUGAAACUUUGUUUAUAUUGAUAGAUAAUGGUGGCCAGAAUCGGAGGCCCCGACUGUUUACUAAAAACACAACACAGUGCAAUCAUUAAUAUGGUAGUAUACUGUGUGAAAUUUGCCCAAUGCCAUUAAUAUAAAAGCGGUCAUAGGAAACUGUGACUAAUUGAAAAUCUGGUUAAUAGCGGUCUUAACCAUGAGGAUCCUAAGGUAGCAAAAUAAAUUGGCCAUUAAAUGUGGUCCGGUAUCAAUAAUGUAACGAUGGCCUCACUGUCUCUACAACUUGCUCAGUGAAAUUGAAUU
rnacentral:rRNA from 1 species